UACGGGGGGGGCAAGCGUUGUUCGGAAUUACUGGGCGUAAAGCGCGCGUAGGCGGCCCGGUAAGUCCGUUGUGAAAGUCAAAGGCUCAACCUUUGAACGCCGAUGGAUACUGCCGGGCUAGAGUCCGGAAGAGGCGAGUGGAAUUCCUGGUGUAGCGGUGGAAUGCGCAGAUAUCAGGAGGAACACCAAUAGCGAAGGCAGCUCGCUGGGACGGUACUGACGCUGAGGCGCGAAAGCGUGGGGAGCGAGCAGG
rnacentral:rRNA from 1 species